rnacentral:rRNA from 1 species
UGCAAGUCGAACGCGAAAGUCCCCUUCGGGGGGCAAGUAGAGUGGCGCACGGGUGAGUAACACGUAGGUAAUCUACCUUUGGAUGGGGAAUAACAACCGGGAACGGUUGCUAAUACCGCAUAAUGCAGCGGCACCUAAUGGUGACAGUUGUUAAAGCGGGGGAUCGAAAGACCUCGCGUCUGAAGAGGAGCCUGCGGCAGAUUAGCUAGUUGGUAAGGUAACGGCUUACCAAGGCGACGAUCUGUAACCGGCCUGAGAGGGCGGUCGGUCACACUGACACUGACAUACGGGUCAGACUCCUACGGGAGGCAGCAGUCGGGAAUUUUGGGCAAUGGGCGAAAGCCUGACCCAGCAACGCCGCGUGAAGGAUGAAAUCCCUCGGGAUGUAAACUUCGCAAGAUUGGGAAGAAUUAGUAGGGGUUAAUACCCCCUAUGAUGACGGUACCUUUUGUAAGCUCCGGCUAACUCCGUGCCAGCAGCCGCGGUAAUACGGGGGGAGCAAGCGUUGUUCGGAUUUACUGGGCGUAAAGGGCGCGUAGGCGGUCAGCACAAGUCAGUUGUGAAAUCUCCGGGCUUAACUCGGAAAGGUCAACUGAUACUGUGCGACUAGAGUGCAGAAGGGGCAACUGGAAUUCUCGGUGUAGCGGUGAAAUGCGUAGAUAUCGAGAGGAACACCUGCGGCGAAGGCGGGUUGCUGGGCUGACACUGACGCUGAGGCGCGAAAGCCAGGGGAGCGAACGGGAUUAGAUACCCCGGUAGUCCUGGCCUUAAACGAUGGAUGCUUGGUGUCUGGAGUUAUAUAGUCUCCGGGUGCCGCAGCUAACGCGUUAAGCAUCCCGCCUGGGGAGUACGGUCGCAAGACUGAAACUCAAAGGAAUUGACGGGGACCCGCACAAGCGGUGGAGCAUGUGGUUCAAUUCGACGCAA